UGGGGAAUAUUGGACAAUGGGGGGAACCCUGAUCCAGCCAUGCCGCGUGUGUGAAGAAGGCCUUAUGGUUGUAAAGCACUUUAAGCGAGGAGGAGGCUACUCUAGUUAAUACCUAGGGAUAGUGGACGUUACUCGCAGAAUAAGCACCGGCUAACUCUGUGCCAG
rnacentral:rRNA from 1 species